rnacentral:lncRNA from 1 species
AAGGAAUUAGUUAUAUGAUUUAAUAGUUUAGGCUUUGAUAGCCUGCUGUGUCCAUCUUCACAACGAAGACCUACCUGCCAGGCAGACAGAUACAUCAACCAGACAGGAUACCUUUUAUUCUUGCUGGUGCUAGGAUGGGGCUGCCAAUUUAUAACUUUCAAAAUUUUCCUUUCCUAGGCCUGACUACCUUCCUUUUGUUCCGAACAUUUUUCUUCAAAUAGCGUUGUGCCAGAACCUUGUCAUUGUCCCCUAAUAUCCAUUCUCCACUUCUUUUGGCUAUAGAAUCCCUGAAUUUUAAUUAGACAGAAGCCCCCUCCCCAUUUUCUAAAGACAAUUUCCAGCCUCCCUUGCAGCCUGAUGUGUCCUUGUGAUUACGCUCUGACCAGUGGGCCACCCAGUCUUCUGUUGGCACAGUGGAUGGGGGCUGUGUCUUAUGAAAGCUAUGUCCAAGAGUUCCAAGUGGAGGCCAGUAGUGAUGGAAAUGGUGGUCCUAAAUAGAGCUGCAACCUCUGGGUAACCCUCUUACCCUAAAUACAUGUUGCUUACCCAAGAGUCAGACUCCUGAGAUUUCAUCAUUGGUAACUGAUUUCCUUGGAUUACCCAUUGUUCCCUUUAUUCAGCCUUCUUUUAAAAUGCAAAUAUUCCUGGGUGGAUAAUAAACAUAUUGCUACUAAAGCUUUACUAUAAACACACUUUCCAGUUCUUUCUUUCUGACAGAAGGGGGCCUGGAUUAUGCUAAGAUCUCUCGAAGGAGGGAUGGGGAAGAGCAUCUAACCCUGAGUAGGACUGCCAUUUGGACAGCGCAGAAGGGACAAAUCCUUAAUCUUUUCUUUUCCAUUACAUAGCAAAGGGAAUGAAAGUGAGGGGGGUUGGCACUGGGUUUAUGUAUGUGUGUAAAACAUAGGCACGUGGAGCCAGUUAUUCACAGAGGUAGAAGCAACUCACUUCUGACUUCAGACAUGUUUCAGAAAUGGAACAAACCAAAUUUUGCUAAGUGGUUUUCUUAUUAAAGCAA